GAUGAACGCUGGCGGCGUGCCUAAUACAUGCAAGUCGAGCGAACGGACGAGAAGCUUGCUUCUCUGACGUUAGCGGCGGACGGGUGAGUAACACGUGGAUAACCUACCUAUAAGACUGGGAUAACUUCGGGAAACCGGAGCUAAUACCGGAUAAUAUUUUGAACCGCAUGGUUCAAAAGUGAAAGACGGUCUUGCUGUCACUUAUAGAUGGAUCCGCGCUGCAUUAGCUAGUUGGUAAGGUAACGGCUUACCAAGGCAACGAUGCAUAGCCGACCUGAGAGGGUGGUCGGCCACCUUGGAACUGAGACACGGUCCAGACUCCUACGGGAGGCAGCAGUAGGGAAUCUUCCGCAAUGGGCGAGAGCCUGACGGAGCAACGCCGCGUGAGUGAUGAAGGUCUUCGGAUUGUAAAACUCUGUUAUUAGGGAAGAACAUAUGUGUAAGUAACUGUGCACAUCUUGACGGUACCUGAUCAGAAAGCCACGGCUAACUACGUG
rnacentral:rRNA from 1 species